CCACGAGCUGUCCGUGAAGAGAACUGUGACAGCAGCAGACGUUACCAGGCUCCGGCCCGGAGGCGCCGAGCUCGGGGCCUCCCUGUCCCGCUCCUGGAGGCGAGAGCACGUGCGUGCGGGGAGGUUCCCGGAAGGAGGCCGAGGCCACCGCGCUGAGUCACCCCCGGGAGGGGCCCGGGGCCGAGGGGCCCUCCUGCAGCCCUGCCGCCGUCCCUGAGCUGGAGACGCUGCCGGCUGGAAGACGGGCUGUCACUUUCUUUGCGGCUAAGAACGGGACAGCACCUUGACGGUGGGACGCAGCCGAGAGGCCAGAGCGUGAGACCCUGGCGGCUCCCUGGUGGGGCGGCCCACGUCUCUCCGAGCCACCCGUUCCGGAUGCCGCGUGGCGUGCCCCUCUGCGUCCCGCUCCUUUUGUCCACGCAGAAUCAGUUGCCGUCCUUACAGACCGCGCAGAGCAGAGCAGUGGGCGGCGUCUGGGGACCGCUGUGGCGUCGCCUCAGCUGCUGGCGUCUAGCGGGCGGGGCUGGCUGGCGCGCUUCGGGCUCCCUUCCUGCGAUGGCUCUCCCUCCGACCCUGGGUUAAUCCUUGGCCUCCGCCAAAGCCGGAACAGCAACAGACCCCGAGACCUGAACCUAACCUGUCGGGGGUUGGGUUUCGCUCACCCCUUCUCUGUCCCAACCACUCAGACGCGAAGACCCGUUACUGCUGCUAAUGUGCUCGAACCCAGGGCCAGAGCGUCUGUGGGGAGGGCUGUGCCUCCAGGGGAGGCGGAACCAGCCGACCCAGCCCCGGGGAGCCAGAGUCACGGCCGACCAGCCCUUGCCCAGAACCCUGGUCCUGCUGUGGGCGAGGCCGCCCACCCUGGUCUUUCUCUCUUGUCCCCAAGGGAUGCCUUACGGCAGCCGCGAGAACUCGCUCCUCUACUCAGAGAUCCCCAGGAAGGUCCGGAAGGAGGCUCUGCUGCUCCUGUCCUGGAAGCAGAUGCUGGAUCACUUCCAGGCCACCCCACACCGCGGGGCCUACUCCCGGGAGGAGGAGCUCCUGCGGGAGCGGAAGCGCCUGGGCACCUUCGGCAUCACCUCCUACGACUUCCACAGCCAGAGCGGCCUCUUCCUCUUCCAGGCCAGCAAUAGCCUCUUCCACUGCCGCGACGGGGGCAAGAACGGCUUCAUGGUGUCCCCCAUGAAGCCCCUGGAGAUCAAGACCCAGUGCACCGGGCCCCGCAUGGACCCCAAGAUCUGCCCUGCCGACCCCGCCUUCUUCUCCUUCAUCAACAAUAACGACCUGUGGGUGGCCAACAUUGAGACGGGCGAGGAGCGGCGGUUGACCUUCUGCCACAGAGGCUCGCCCAGUGUCCUCGAUGACCCCAGGUCCGCGGGCGUGGCCACCUUCGUCAUCCAGGAGGAGUUCGACCGCUUCACCGGCUACUGGUGGUGCCCCGCCGCCUCCUGGGAGGGUCCGGAAGGCUGCAAGACACUGCGGAUCCUGUAUGAGGAGGUUGACGAGUCUGAGGUGGAGAUCAUUCACGUGCCGUCUCCGGCGCUAGAAGAGAGGAAGACGGACUCCUACCGCUACCCCAGGACAGGCAGCAAGAAUCCCAAGAUCGCCCUGAAGCUGGCGGAGUUUCAGACCGAUGCUCAGGGCAAGAUCGUGGCGACCCAGGAGAAGGGGCUGGUGCAGCCGUUCAGCACGCUCUUCCCCAGGGCCGAGUACAUCGCCAGGGCCGGCUGGACCCGGGACGGCAAGUACGCCUGGGCCAUGCUCCUGGACCGGCCCCAGCAGCGGCUCCAGCUCGUCCUCCUGCCCCCCGCCCUGUUCAUCCCCGUCACCGAGAAUGAGGAGGAGCGCGUGGCCUUGGCCAGAGCGGUGCCCAGGGACGUCCAGCCGUACAUGGUGUACGAGGAGGUCACCGAUGUGUGGAUCAACGUUCACGACAUCUUCUACCCCUUCCCCCAGUCGGAGGGAGAGGGCGAGCUCUGCUUCAUCCGCGCCAACGAGUGCAAGACUGGCUUCUGCCACUUGUACAAGGUCACUGCCAUCUUAAAGCCCAGCGGCUACGACUGGAGUGAGCCCCUCAGCCCUAGGGAAGAUGAGUUUAAAUGCCCCGUCAAGGAGGAGACCGCGCUGACCAGUGGCGAGUGGGAGGUUUUGGCGAGGCACGGCUCCAAGAUCUGGGUCAACGAGGAGACCAAGCUGGUGUACUUCCAAGGCACGAAGGACACGCCGCUGGAGCACCACCUCUACGUGGUCAGCUACGAGUCGGCUGGCGAGAUCGUGCGCCUGACCACACCCGGCUUCUCCCACAGCUGCUCCAUGAGCCAGAACUUCGACAUGUUCAUCAGCCACUACAGCAGCGUGGGCACGCCGCCCUGCGUGCACGUCUAUAAGCUGAGCGGCCCCGAUGACGACCCUCUGCACAAGCAGCCCCGGUUCUGGGCCAGCAUGAUGGAGGCGGCCAGCUGCCCCCCGGAUUACGUGCCCCCGGAAAUCUUCCACUUCCACACGCGGUCGGAUGUCCGGCUCUACGGCAUGAUUUACAAGCCACACUCCGUGCAGCCCGGAAAGAAGCACCCCACUGUCCUCUUUGUGUAUGGAGGCCCCCAGGUGCAGCUGGUGAACAACUCCUUCAAAGGCAUCAAGUACCUGCGGCUCAACACGCUGGCGUCCCUGGGCUAUGCCGUGGUCGUGAUUGAUGGCCGGGGCUCGUGUCAGCGGGGGCUGCGGUUUGAAGGCGCCCUGAAGAACCAGAUGGGCCAGGUGGAGAUCGAGGACCAGGUCGAGGGCUUGCAGUUCGUGGCCGAGAAGUACGGCUUCGUGGACCUGAGCCGGGUCGCCAUCCACGGGUGGUCGUACGGAGGCUUCCUGUCGCUCAUGGGGCUGAUCCAUAAACCCCAGGUGUUCAAGGUGGCCAUCGCCGGCGCCCCGGUCACCGUCUGGAUGGCCUACGACACAGGGUACACUGAGCGCUACAUGGAUGUCCCAGAGAACAACCAACUUGGCUACGAGGCGGGGUCCGUGGCUCUGCACGUGGAGAAGCUGCCCAAUGAGCCCAACCGCCUGCUGAUCCUGCACGGCUUCCUGGAUGAGAACGUGCACUUUUUCCACACAAAUUUCCUCGUCUCCCAGCUGAUCCGAGCCGGAAAACCUUACCAGCUCCAGAUCUACCCCAACGAGAGACACAGCAUCCGCUGCCCGGAGUCCGGCGAGCACUAUGAGGUCACGCUGCUGCACUUUCUACAGGAAUACCUCUGAGCCCCCGAGGCCCGGGGCCUGCGCAUUCAGAGCACAAGUGGCUUCGCUGCGGCCACCACAGGGGGACCGGCCGGGAGGGGCAGAGUGGCCCCCUGAAGGCCCCUCCCCGCGUUGCCUCCUCCCUCGGCCCCCGCUGGACAGCCCUGGGGCCUCCGCCGCCUUCGCUGCCCCCUGCCUUUUAUCGUUUUAACGCUCCCGGCUGUUUUGCCUGCUGCUUCUCGUGGCCACGACGGCGAGACGAGGCCCACGUCCAGAGGCACGUCCUCAAGCCAUCCCCUCCUCUCCGCGUGGCCCGGAGCCCCGACUCCGCGGGGCACGGGGAGGGGGGCGAAGACACUGGGAGGGCCCGGCCUCGGCCUCGUCAUGGGCCAUUCCCCAGGGGCCCUGGGCCCGCAGCGGUGGCGGCCACGGCCACGGAAGCUUGCGACUGCCUUUCCUCCCAGACCCGCCCACUUCAUGUUUUGUUCCGGGGGAGCAUUUUUUUCUGACGAUUAUUUCAAAGGCCGAGCAGAGGGUGCCUAGUCCGAGGAUGGGGUCUUCCGCCAGCGGCCGGCGGGCUCCCUUCCUCCAGGCUCCGAAGAAGCGCACACCCCGGGGCUCUGGGCUCAGGAAGGAGCCGCCCCGCCUCAGGGUUCUCCUCCCCUCCCCCUCCCCGCCAGGACUUCCGAUGGGGGGCCCGGGCAAGAAGGAAAACAAGCAAAAAAACAACACCCCACCCCCCACAAACGGAAAACCCCACCAGAUACGAACCACCUCUACAUAUUAUGGAAAGAAAAUAUUUUUGUCGAUUCUUAUUCUUUUAUAAUUAUGCGUGUAAGAAGUAGACUCAUUAAACAGUUCCGGAGGGAACCGCGCCCGCCCGCCUCGGGUUCCUUCCCAGCCGCGGGGCCUCCGCCCGGCCGGUCCCGGAAGCCCGCCGAGCCGAGAGCUGCCCGUCACACCGGCCUGGUCUGGAGAGGACAGCCCCGGGGUCCUGAUGCAGCCGCCGCAAGUCGCCUAGGGACCCAGCCCGAGGUGGCCCGGCCCGCCCGGCCCAGCCCGGGCUUCCUCAGGACAACAGCGUUAGCCAAGCCCAGACCCAGAGGGACCGGAGACUGCCCGAGCCCAUGGCACUCUGGUACUUGCGUUCCCAACAGCAGGACGACCUCUCCUUGCGCCUGCACCCUCUCCAUACUUUGGGAAGCUCCAAUUUUAUUUUAAAUGGCUUAAAAAAUAAUAAAACUUCAGUGCAAGAGGAUAUGCAGAGAAAAGAUACUUUCCCUCCAGAGAGAAUCACAUCCCAUUUUCUAUUUUUAAUACCUGAUUUCUAUUCCUGCCAAGAAUGUGCCCGAACUUAUUUGCCAGGCACCUAUUAAGGGCUAACGGGUUAUUCUGGGCAUUUUAUCUGAAUAAGUAUCAAUCAGGGGGGUCAAGGGACUUCUUCUGGAAUAGGACAGGGAGUAAGUAUCUUAGGCUUUGCAGGCAAGAGGGCCUGGGAUGCAAUUACUCUGUUCUUCUUCCUACUCCAAAAGUAGCCACAGAUGACAUGUAAAUGAGGGGGGUUGGCUAUGAGGGAAUAAAACCUUAUUUACAAAACCAGGCAGCUGGCCAGAUUUAACCCACAGUCUGCGAUUGGCCAACCCCCUGUAUAAGUGGUACUUAACCGCCUUAUACAUACUUUGGGCAUUUGCUUGAGUUUAUAGGGGCAAGUUCCUAGAAUCAUCAAAAGGCAUAUUCGAUUAGUUUCACGGAAUAUUACCAAAUUGCCUUCCAAAGAGAACACCUCAAUGUAAACUUCUCCAAUAAGGGUGAAGGAUGCCUGUUUCUCCAUUUCUUUCCCAGCACUACCUAUUACCAAUUUUUUUUUAAUCUUUGCCAAUCUUAGGGGUGAAAUGUAGCAUCUCACUGUCAUUUUUCUGUGUGGCAGUAUUUUCAUGUUUUGAGAUACUUGUUUACUAGUGAUCAUUUUGCCCACCUUUCUUUGGAUGUAUUGGCCUCAUUGAUUUGUGGACACUCUUUAUAUAUGAAGGCAAUCAGUCCCUUGUCAUCCACUUGCAAAUUGAACUAUGUUGUCGACCUUCCCAUGUGAAGCUCAGCUAGUGAAUGGUUUAAAAUCAGUCUGGGGAACAAAUAGUUUUUCACUUAAGGUGAAGGAGGGGACUGGUCAUGAGUCAUAAAAUGACAGAAACUAGAGGGAGAGGACGCUGGGUGUGCUCCAGGAGCCUUGGCAGCUGCACUUCGAGGCAGGAACUCUUGGUCAGAACCUUCUACCCCUGCCUUGCACAGUCAGUACCCCAGACUCGGGAGACAGCUGCCACCGGCCAAACUGCAGUCAGUCACAGUCCUACUCUGACAGCCCCGGAAGUGUUAGGGGGGUGCCAACAGGAAGCAAGGAGGGGUGGAGGCCAGCUACAAGAGGACAGGUGUCUGCUGGCACAAAGUCUCAGCCGCGGAGGUGGCAGGUGGAGGCAUUUGUUCUUCCAGGCUGACACGGGGGUCGCUUUUCUCCACCGCUGGUGGGGGGCCUGUCCCCGGGAGGGUCCCCGGGUCGGUGUGGGGUUGCCGGUGCACAGGCCUGCUUGCUCUCCUGUUGGAAAAGCUCCUCUCCUCCGUAACUGGCAAGAACCCAUACGCGACGGACAGAAAGGCCUGUGUCCUGUCGGUGGCAGAGAUUUCCCAGUUCGUCAUUUGUCUAUCAGACAGGUUUAUGGUAUCUUAACACAAACAAGAAUGAAACCUUUAACCAUGGACACAUAGGAAGGUAUAAAAAUAGUACAGAGUCCCAGGUACCCUCCACACAGCUCACAUCUUCCCUAACCUCCGUCCAUUGUCCGAAUCAGGAAACUGACAUGAGUCCAAUGCAAUUAACCAGACUCUAUGCCUGAUUAUAUCAGCUGUUACACGUGCUCGCUGGUGAGCGGGUGUAUGUGUGUCUUUUCCUUUGCGUCGCCUGUAUAGAUUCCUGUAACCAACACCCCAACCAUAACACAAAACCGUUUGUUCUCCAGAAAGGAGCUCCUCCGUGCGUCCCUGUGACGUCCACCCCGUUUAUGGUGGCCUGAACAGAGAGACCGAUGUCUGUCCCUUGAUAUUUGUAUCAUCAAAUGGUUUCCUUAAGCACUGCUAGAUUUCACGUCAUGAUUAAAAAGCAGGAUCUCUGGAA